GUGGGAAAUAGAAGGGGUGGGACGACACGCGCAAAGUUCGAAAGGGGCAACUUUAGGCAAAAGUUUCAAAUGCUGGGAGCAGCGGGAAGAGAAGCGUCAGCUUCAACCCAGUCGCGACGGCGCUUGAAAGAAUUUGGCAUCCUGUCCAGAUUGACACCUCAUACUGUUGCAGCAGCUGUCAGAGCAAUAGGACUCUUGACAACCAGGAAGGAAGCACUGUGCCUAGCCAAAAACAGGGAAGGAAGUAAAUCUCUGUGAGAUCAGAGGAUGCAGUUGUAGAUUGCAGCCUGAGGGAUUCCUAAGCAAAACUGUCUGUCAUUGUUGCGAACCUUUUGACUUCACUGAACAAAGGAAGUUAACCUUGCUCCCAGUCAUCUAUUUCAGCUGGGUCUAUAGAGGGUUUCCCCAGCUCUUUCUGGAAAAACCAGCAGUGACUGAACCUGCCACCUCCUUCACAGAUAGAUGAAGCUUGACACCCGAGCUUCAGGUUCAAAUGUGGGCUCAUAUAAUUGUUAAAAAGCCAUUGUUCACUUGGCAAUGUGGUGGGGCCUCUGCAGAGUGGGUUUCUCAACCUACUUGCACUUGGCUGGCUCUUCAGGAAACCUAUAAUCAUGCGCUGCACUUGGCUGAUCUCUUGAUUAUACCUUCAUUACCUGAUGCUGACACAAGGACACUGAAAAGCACGCACGUUCUCGAGGUGGGUACUCAGGAUUACCUCACAUGGAUUAUAGUUACCUGCCAAAACAGUUUCAGUAGCCUGCCCUACACCUGGCAACAAAAGAUUGUGAAAAUGGCAGAUAACAUUUCUUCCUACCCUUUGGGUAUAUUGUAAUUUCACUAACCAGGAAUAUUUAUAAGCCCAGGUGUGGUCUAAAGUAGGGGUGGCAAAACCUUUUCAGCCUGAGGGCUGCACAACCUUCUGAGGGCAACAUGACAGUGUUGGGCAGGGGCAGGGGCAAACGUGAGUGGAGUAAUGAAUGUAAACUGUUAAGUGGGGGUGAACAUAUCAGAUGACACAGUGAUUCUUCAAACAGCUCUUGUUUAU